rnacentral:rRNA from 1 species
AAAUUGAAGAGUUUGAUCAUGGCUCAGAUUGAACGCUGGCGGCAGGCCUAACACAUGCAAGUCGAACGGUAACAGGAAGCAGCUUGCUGCUUCGCUGACGAGUGGCGGACGGGUGAGUAAUGUCUGGGAAACUGCCUGAUGGAGGGGGAUAACUACUGGAAACGGUAGCUAAUACCGCAUAACGUCGCAAGACCAAAGAGGGGGACCUUCGGGCCUCUUGCCAUCGGAUGUGCCCAGAUGGGAUUAGCUUGUUGGUGGGGUAACGGCUCAC